rnacentral:misc_RNA from 1 species
GGUCAGCAAUCUGAUGGGAAAUCAGCACCAAAUGUUGAAGAGUGGGCACAUAUUCGAGAUGAAAGGGCAAGAAGACAUGAGUUAUAUGGUUAUGGUUCUACACCUUCUGCUGAGGAUAAAAAGGAAUGGUAUACUGAUGAUGGUGCAUCCAUGCAAGAUCCAAGUUCAGGGAGGGAUGAAGUAGACUACCAGGCAGGGAAAGGAAGAGGACAGAGAGGGGCUAUGUCUGGUCGAGGUGCUGCUGGCCAGAGUUCCAGUGGUGGUUCACAUGAAACAGGGUCCUUCUCCAGAGCUCCUCCACUGGGAAUAAAGGGGAGCAGAGUAGGGAGAGGAGGAAGGGGUAGGCCAACUGGUAGAGACAACCAACAGGUCCCUUUGCCCAUAAUGGGAUCACCUUUUGGGCCUAUGGGAGUUCUACCACCUGGACCAAUGCAGCCACUUGGCCCUAGUAUGUCACCUGCUCCAGGUCC